rnacentral:rRNA from 1 species
CGGCCCAGACUCCUACGGGAGGCAGCAGUGGGGAAUUUUGGACAAUGGGCGCAAGCCUGAUCCAGCAAUGCCGCGUGAGUGAAGAAGGCCUUCGGGUUGUAAAGCUCUUUUGUCAGGGAAGAAACGGCUGAGGUUAAUACCUUCGGCUAAUGACGGUACCUGAAGAAUAAGCACCGGCUAACUACGUGCCAGCAGCCGCGGUAAUACGUAGGGUGCAAGCGUUAAUCGGAAUUACUGGGCGUAAAGCGUGCGCAGGCGGUUUUGUAAGUCUGAGGUGAAAUCCCCGGGCUCAACCUGGGAAUUGCGUUGGAGACUGCAAGGCUAGAAUCUGGCAGAGGGGGGUAGAAUUCCACGUGUAGCAGUGAAAUGCGUAGAGAUGUGGAGGAACACCGAUGGCGAAGGCAGCCCCCUGGGUCAAGAUUGACGCUCAUGCACGAAAGCGUGGGGAGCAAACAGGAUUAGAUACCCUGG